CAUCGAUGAAGAACGCAGCGAAAUGCGAUAAGUAAUGUGAAUUGCAGAAUUCAGUGAAUCAUCGAAUCUUUGAACGCACUUGCGCUCCUUGGUAUUCCUUGGAGCAUGCCUGUUUGAGUAUCAUGAAAUCUUCAAAGUUAAAAUCUUUUGUUAAC
rnacentral:rRNA from 1 species